rnacentral:rRNA from 1 species
UAUGCACGCUGGCGGCGUGCCUAAUACAUGCAAGUCGAGCGAACAGACGAGGAGCUUGCUCCUCUGACGUUAGCGGCGGACGGGUGAGUAACACGUGGAUAACCUACCUAUAAGACUGGGAUAACUUCGGGAAACCGGAGCUAAUACCGGAUAAUAUAUUGAACCGCAUGGUUCAAUAGUGAAAGACGGUUUUGCUGUCACUUAUAGAUGGAUCCGCGCCGCAUUAGCUAGUUGGUAAGGUAACGGCUUACCAAGGCAACGAUGCGUAGCCGACCUGAGAGGGUGAUCGGCCACACUGGAACUGAGACACGGUCCAGACUCCUACGGGAGGCAGCAGUAGGGAAUCUUCCGCAAUGGGCGAAAGCUUGACGUAGCAACGCCGCGUGAGUGAUGAAGGUCUUCGGCUCGUAAAACUCUGUUAUUAGGGAAGAACAAAUGUGUAAGUAACUAUGCACGUCUUGACGGUACCUAAUCAGAAAGCCACGGCUAACUACGUG